UACGUAGGGUGCGAGCGUUAAUCGGAAUACUGGGCGUAAAGCGUGCGCAGGCGGUUCGUUAAGUUCGAUGUGAAAGCCCCGGGCUCAACCUGGGAACUGCAUUGGAAACUGGCGAGCUUGAAUGCGGCAGAGGGGGGUGGAAUUCCGCGUGUAGCAGUGAAAUGUGUAGAGAUGUGGAGGAACACCGAUGGCGAAGGCAGCCCCCCUGGGUCAACACUGACGCUCAUGCACGAAAGCGUGGGGAGCAAACAGG
rnacentral:rRNA from 1 species